rnacentral:rRNA from 1 species
CGGAGGUGGCAAGCGUUACUCGGAAUCAUUGGGUGUAAAGGGGCAAGUAGGCGGUCUAUUAAGUGAGGGGUGAAAUCUUCCGACUCAAUCGGGAAACUGCCUUUCAAACUGAUAGACUUGAGGCAAGAAGGGGAAACGGAAUUCCAGGUGUAAGGGUGAAAUCUGUAGAUAUCUGGAAGAACACCGGCGGCGAAGGCGGUUUCCUGGUCUUGCCCUGACGCUGAAUUGCGAAAGCUAGGGGAGCAAACAGAAUUAGAUACUCUGGUAGUCCUAGCCGUAAACGAUGAAUACUAGGUGUUGGUCCUUCUGGGAUCAGUGCCGCAGCUAACGCAUUAAGUAUUCCACCUGAGGACUACGGUCGCAAGGCUA